rnacentral:lncRNA from 1 species
CCGCCCUUCCCGCCCCUCAGGGCGCGGCCCCUCAGGCGCCUUCGCCCCGCUCCGCCCCGACCCCGCGGUGUCGGUAAUUCACCCUCGCGGGGCUCCUUCGAGAUGUUGGGGGGCUGUGCUGUGCUCCUAGGUUCAGGUGAUGGAGGCAAAACACUGCAGGCAGCCACGCGGUGGGACCUGGCUGGGAGGGGUCACAACGGUGUAACGCGUACACAGCGGUGUGAGGCUGGGGGCGCUGCCACUGAGGUCAGAUGUUGGCCUGGUCUUCUGUCUCAUCCCCAACCCAGCCUGAAAACGUCCCUGAAAAUGUCCUACAGGUAGUCCAGGAUGCUCCAAGUUUGGUUGCUGAGGUCCUGCUGAGUUUUCAGAUUGGGAAAGCUCAGACAACGUCCCUUGCCAAGUUUAAUGGACAUUGCCAUGGGAGUUCUGAGGCUAAGAGUUCCUGGAAACAGAGGAUGUCUCGUGGCAGGCACUGCAGUGCCACGCUGAGCUGCCCAGACCCACACUCCAGCCCUGACAGCAGCACCCCAGAACCUUCCAGCUUGGAGAAAACCUCCCAGAGCAUCGAGUUCAACCUGGGAUUAAUCCCAUUUUCAACAAGUGCUGUCUGCAGUCAUUCCUGGGUCAUCCAGACACGGUGA